UACGUAGGUGGCGAGCGUUGUCCGGAUUUACUGGGCGUAAAGGAUGCGUAGGUGGAAAUUUAAGUGGGAUGUGAAAUCCCCGGGCUCAACCUGGGAACUGCAUUCCAAACUGGAUUUCUUGAGUACAGGAGAGGAAAGCGGAAUUCCUAGUGUAGCGGUGAAAUGCGUAGAUAUUAGGAGGAACACCAGUGGCGAAGGCGGCUUUCUGGACUGUAACUGACACUGAGGCAUGAAAGCGUGGGUAGCAAACAGGAUUAGAUACCCUGGUAGUCCCU
rnacentral:rRNA from 1 species